rnacentral:rRNA from 1 species
GUCCGUAGGCGGCUUAAUAAGUCAGUGGUGAAAUCCCUACGCUUAACGUAGGAACGGCCAUUGAUACUGUUAGGCUUGAAUUAUUAGGAAGUAACUAGAAUAUGUAGUGUAGCGGUGAAAUGCUUAGAGAUUACAUGGAAUACCAAUUGCGAAGGCAGGUUACUACUAAUGGAUUGACGCUGAUGGACGAAAGCGUGGGUAGCGAACAGGAUUAGAUACCCUGGUAGUCCACGCCGUAAACGAUGGAUACUAGCUGUUGGGAGCAAUCUCAGUGGCUAAGCGAAAGUGAUAAGUAUCCCACCUGGGGAGUACGAACGCAAGUUUGAAACUCAAAGGAAUUGACGGGGGCCCGCACAAGCGGUGGAGCAUGUGGUUUAAUUCGAUGAUACGCGAGGAACCUUACCAAGGCUUAAAUGUAGUUUGACCGAUUUGGAAACAGAUCUUUCGCAAGACAAAUUACAAGGUGCUGCAUGGUUGUCGUCAGCUCGUGCCGUGAGGUGUCAGGUUAAGUCCUAUAACGAGCGCAACCCCUGUCGUUAGUUGCCAGCGAGUCAUGUCGGGAACUCUAACGAGACUGCCAGUGUAAACUGUGAGGAAGGUGGGGAUGACGUCAAAUCAUCACGGCCCUUACGCCUUG